rnacentral:rRNA from 1 species
AGUGGGAGCACGCUUAGGCGUGUGACUGCGUACCUUUUGUAUAAUGGGUCAGCGACUUAUAUUCUGUAGCAAGGUUAACCGAAUAGGGGAGCCGAAGGGAAACCGAGUCUUAACUGGGCGUUAAGUUGCAGGGUAUAGACCCGAAACCCGGUGAUCUAGCCAUGGGCAGGUUGAAGGUUGGGUAACACUAACUGGAGGACCGAACCGACUAAUGUUGAAAAAUUAGCGGAUGACUUGUGGCUGGGGGUGAAAGGCCAAUCAAACCGGGAGAUAGCUGGUUCUCCCCGAAAGCUAUUUAGGUAGCGCCUCGUGAAUUCAUCUCCGGGGGUAGAGCACUGUUUCGGCAAGGGGGUCAUCCCGACUUACCAACCC